AAAGCAUCGGGUAUUUUUUGUUACUGCUUUCGAUUGCAAAUUUGUUUCAAGAUCCAUUUUUUAUUUUUUAAUGAUUUAUCAGGCUUAAAUCAAUAGUUCUUUUUAUCAUCUAUUUGGUGCAGAUUGACAUGGCGUGAGUGAAAUAAUUUAUUUCUUGAGCUAGAUCUGCUACUGCCUUACUGGACUAGGUGUAAAUUAUCACACCAAGUUGUUUUAGUUACUCCACAAAACCAACUGAUUUCCCUGCCAAACCAGAGGGUUCUGAUCUAAUUCCUUCCUAACCAGUUGUAUUCUCAGUGCUAUGACCAUGUCUAUAAAUCUAAUUUAUC
rnacentral:lncRNA from 1 species